rnacentral:lncRNA from 13 species
AGCCGCGUAAACGGAACGUUUCUGGUACCCCGGCGUUUCUUUCCAUCUAUGGAGCCUUUGAUCAAUUUCCGCCUGACGACAAUUUAAUUGGCCGCAAAACGAUAUUUGAUAUUCUUGGGGAAAUUUGAAUGUCUUCGUAACGACGUAACCGUAAAAAAAAAGGCAGAGAAUGUUACGCGCGCGGAAAUAUAAAUAAUUAUACACGUAUGCUCGCAAAAAAAGGAGAAAAAACUUGCCGCGACCGUUUCGCUUCCAGAAAAAUAAACUUGUGACCCUGAUACCGAGCUCCGAUAAUCUUUACCCUGAUAACCGUGCCCCGUACUUCGCAAUAUAGCGGUGCGACUCCGAGCAUAAUGCGGCAAAUACUUUCAUCGAGCGCGUAAUAGCUCGCGCGCCGACCCAGGUUCGCUCGCCCGCAAACUUUCCAAGACGAUUACUUGCUAAUGGUACCGCGCUAGCCGCGACUCUCCAUUAUCGUGAAUCGGAAAUCGAGUGUCCCCGGAUAUGUAAUUACACGCGCGUAUACCGUCAAUUAGGUAAUGGAAGGAAAACUGGACUGCAAGGAGAAGAUAUUCAUUGACAAAAAAAGGACGAAAUUCAUUUACAAGCAACACAGCGUGCGCUGCAAGCGACGAAGAAAGCCAAAACGACAAAUUUCUUGGAAACUAUUAGGAAAAUCGUCAUCAAUUUUUUCGCAAGUACAUUAUAUGUAUUUUUUCGUUGGAACUAUUAUGGAAUCAUUAUUAUGUACUCAUUAUUUCUGUUUAUAAAAAAAAUAAUUAUAAGAUUUUUAAAAUAUAAAAAAAUGUUUACAAAAGUUACUAUUCUGUCAAACUUAGAGAUAUUUUAUUUAAUUCCAAUUCCAACAAUAGCAACGCUUCUCUUGAAUAAAAAAAGUUUUAAGUUUUUUUAUUUCAGAUGUCCAAAAGAGACAUUUAUCCCAUUACCUCUAUGUAUUUUUUUUAUAAGCUAUUUUAAUGAUCAGUAUAUAACAUGCGAAAAAGUAGCACAUUUUAAAUUUCAAAAAUAUUAAAAUAUUUGACAAUAGUAAUAAAAAAGUAUGCAAAGUUUGAUAUUAAUUGUUGGCCUCCCUAAAAAUAUUCCC